rnacentral:scRNA from 1 species
AUCUGAAGAGGCGAACAGCUUGGACGCUCUCC